rnacentral:rRNA from 1 species
UCGAGAAUCUUCGGCAAUGGGCGAAAGCCUGACCGAGCGACGCCGCAUGCGGGACGAAGACCUUAGGGUUGUAAACCGCUUUUCUCAAGGAGGAACUUUUGUGACUGUACUUGAGGAAUAAGGGGUGGCUAACUCUGUGCCAGCAGCAGCGGUAAUACAGAGACCCCGAGCGUUAUCCGGAUUCAUUGGGCGUAAAGAGUCUUAAGGCGGUUUAGUAAGUCUUUGAUCAAAGUUCUAGGGCUUAACCUUAGAAACGUUAGAGAUACUACUAGACUAGAGAAAGUCAGAGGUUAGCGGAACGUACGGUGUAGGGGUGAAAUCCGUUGAUAUCGUGCGGAACACCAAAAGCGAAGGCAGCUAACUGGGGCUUUUCUGACGCUGAUUGACGAAAGCGUGGGGA